UGACAAGAAAUAACAAUACAAGGCAGUUAAAAUGCUUUGUAAUUGGAAUGAUAGAAAUUUAAACACUUUUUAAAGUAUCAAUUGGAGGGCAAGUCUGGUGCCAGCAGCCGCGGUAAUUCCAGCUCCAAUAGCGUAUAUUAAAAUUGUUGCAGUUAAAAAGCUCGUAGUUGAAUUUCUGUUAAAAAUAACCGGUCUGCUUUUAAUAAAAGUGGUAUCUUGGUGUGUUUUUAGCAAUAAUGUCCUUUGAAAUGUUUUUUACUUUAUUGUAAUAAAUAAUAUUCAGGAUUUUUACUUUGAGAAAAUUAGAGUGUUUCUAGCAGGCUAACGCUUUGAAUACUGCAGCAUGGAAUAAUAAAAUAGGAUUUUAGUUCUACAUUAUUGGUUUUAAGAACUAAAUUAAUGAUUGAUAGGGACAGUUGGGGGCAUUUGUAUUUAACUGUCAGAGGUGAAAUUCUUAGAUUUGUUAAAGACAAACUACUGCGAAAGCAUUUGCCAAAGAUGUUUUCAUUAAUCAAGAACGAAAGUUAGGGGAUCGAAGACGAUCAGAUACCGUCGUAGUCUUAACUAUAAACUAUGCCGACUAGAGAU
rnacentral:rRNA from 1 species